rnacentral:lncRNA from 1 species
CCAUAUUUUGUUUUGCUACUUAUUUUGACGUAAGAACAUUACCCUCUGAGCCAUCCACGUGGAAGGAAAAAAAAAAGGUUAGGAAGAUACUGCACCUUUCAAGAGCUGUCGUUCUUUCACUUACUUCCUAUGACCUCAUGUGUGUAAAUUUUGUAGUUUUAAUCACAUCAAUUGUGUAUCAUAUGUAUGGAGAAUAAUUAAAUGCUAGCUGCCAAUUGUCAAAUAAAAAAAAAAAUUGUAGAUUAUUUUGUUGUAGUUUCGUAAUCAUAAGCAAUUCAACAAUGUUCAUUGUAUAUCAUUAGAUGGCU